GCAUGUCUAAGUACAAGCCUCACUAAGGUGAAACCGCGAAUGGCUCAUUAAAUCACACCUAAUCUACUGGAUAGUUAACAGUUACUUGGAUAACUGCGGUAAUUCUGGAGCUAAUACAUGCACAAAGCCCCGAACUUACGUGAGGGGCGCUUUUAUUAGAUCAAAACCGAACGGCUCCGGCUGCUCUCUUGGUGACUCUGAAUAACUUUGGGCUGAUCGCAUAGCCUAGCGCUGGCGACAUAUCCUUCGAAGGUGUGCCCUAUCAACUGUCGACUGUGGCAUAGACGCCCACAGUGGUUUUGACGGGUAACGGGGAAUCAGGGUUCGAUUCCGGAGAGGGAGCCUUAAAAACGGCUACCACAUCUAAGGAAGGCAGCAGGCACGCAAAUUACCCAAUGACCGAAGGUCGAGGUAGUGACGAAAAAUAACGAUACGGGACUCAUCUGAGGCCCCGUAAUCGGAAUGAGUACACUUUAAAACCGUCCCCGAGGAUCUAUUGGAGGGCAAGUCUGGUGCCAGCAGCCGCGGUAAUUCCAGCUCCAAUAGCGUAUAUUAAAGUUGUUGUGGUUAAAAAGCUCGUAGUUGGAUCUCGGCGGUCUGAGGGCGGUUCACUUGCUAGUGCUACUGCCCUAUAGACCGUAGUUUUGCCAGAGGUCUCAGGGUGCUCUUAACCGAGUGUCUUGUGAUGCUGGCAGGUUUACUUUGAAAAAAUUAGAGUGCUCAAAGCAGGCUUUUACGCCUGAAUAUUCGUGCAUGGAAUAAUAGAAUAGGAAGUCGUUUCUAUUUUGUUGGUUUUCGGAAAUCGACUUAAUGAUUAAUAGGGACAGUCGGGGGCAUUUGUAUUCAAACGACAGAGGUGAAAUUCUUGGACCGUUUGAAGACAAACUACUGCGAAAGCAUUUGCCAAGAAUGUUUUCAUUAAUCAAGAACGAAAGUUAGAGGUUCGAAGGCGAUUAGAUACCGCCCUAGUUCUAACCAUAAACGAUGCCAGCUAGCGAUCUGCCGACGUUUUUUUU
rnacentral:rRNA from 1 species